CACACACACACACACGUCCCAACCCCAGCUGGGCCUGGGACCUUCCACUGCUCUGAGCCCCUUUCAGCCCCCUUCCUCCUCUAGCUUUGGGAAUGAGGGGGAAGUCAUCUCAAAUUGAUUAGUGUGUUAGUACUAGUACUCGUUUUCGUUUUGGUUUUAGUUUUAUUUCCGCCACCAUUAAUAAUAAGAUAGAGAAUAAAAGUUUAUCGUGGAAAGGUGUUUCGGGUGUGGCUCUCUCUACCUCCCCACUCCCGGGGCAGCGGCCGGGGAAGGGUGGGAUCAGUACCCCAGCUGGCUGGGAGUGUCAAGGUGAGCGUCCAGCGCGGUGCAGGGCUCCUGUCAGGAAGACACAAGGCGGAACUUGUGUCCCAUUCCUGGCCAGGUCCUCAAUCCUUCUCUCAGGAAAUCUUCACGUUUAAUAGCCAACCACUCUUGGAAUAGUGGGGGUGAUUUCGGUGAUGCGAGAGGGGCACGGUCCAAAUCCUGUCUCCUACAGCCAGGCCCAGCCACCAGAACUCAUCCCUCUCCAAGCAGUGACAGAAGGGGCAGGAGGCAAAAGGAUCCCGAUCUGCUGCUAAGGGGCGCAUAGAUCCGGCGCCCUCCUGUCCCCAAGCGCGACCGGCGGGAGGCCAAAUGCAUAGCUCCAGCUCUAGGUCUGAAGGACAAGUUCCUUUCUCCCUGGCGGUGGAAUCUCGCACCACUCUAUCCCAGGUGGCCUGGCCUCGUCUUUCUCCCAGCACCUGCAGCUUCAGGAAGUCUCUGUUAAACCACAGAAUGGUCAUUUCUCCUUCAUUUAAAUGAGGUUUUGCGCAGCCCUGAAUUAUUCACCCCUGAGAUUGAACAUCAACAAUUUCUCUGUUUCUACCCUGCACCAAAGCAGUUCUGAACUCCCCAACCUGUGCAGCUAACUGUGUCCGGGAGCCAUGCGGUGAGGGCCAAGAGGAGGAAACUCGUGGUUUUGAACAUGAACUGAUUUGAGGGGGUCAGGAUCUGAGAGCUCUGAGGUUGAGCCCAGUAAGCACCAAAGGCAUUGGGCUGAAUGUGCUAGACCAGGAAGAGGGCAUAGGGGAGAGAGUAGGAACAGCCGAGGUUUCUGAGACUCCCAGCGCUCCCCUGGAGGAGAGAACCCUCUUCCCCUCCCUCCUGCCCACCCCAAGGGUCUAGCUCUCCUUAGCCACCCAGAGUUGAGUAUGGCGCCAGCGCGGUGACAGUGGCUGAGGAGCACAUGGACCCUAUCAGCCCACCCUGGGGAGCCAUGGCUGCGGAGGCCCCGACCCCUUUGCCUCCGCUGUAGGGCCAGAGAGCAUCCCUGGCUCCUAAUCCACCUGUCUAAAUGUAUCUGUCAGGAGUGACUGGCUCAUAAUUCCUGGACUCUCUAGAGAGAGCACGCGGUGGGGCCACAGACAAGAAUUACUCCUGGAAAAAGAAAAAUCAGGUUUAAAAGAAGUGAACUCUUCCUCUCCGGCGGCAUGAACACAGUACAGUCUCUGGCUCUGGGAGGUCCUGGAGACCUGGAGGAGGUUUGAGGGUGAGGAGUCAACAGGCACACUCUAAAGACGAGGAAAUAAAGCCGGUCGUGACACCGUGAGAGCUGGUUCGCCCAACUACCCUUUCAGGGGAACGUCCACCCCACCUCUGCUGCCGAGCUUGGAAAAGUGGCAAGGAGUCGCAGUCCAGGACAAAACUCCGCCCCCGUCCCCGUGAAGGCCGCCCGUGGCUGGGGGCUACUGUAGAGGGUGGAGUUUCCCAGAGGCUACAGGAAGUACGUCAUCUUAGCAGAUCAAAUGCAGAAGCAGUUAUGAGAAUCCAGCUAUCUUCUAUUAAGCCAGACAUUAAAAUAAUUUGGGAAAGAAAGAGAGAGCAAAAUCAAUCAGAAGAAUGGAGAACUGGCUGUGCAAGGUGGCUCACGUUUGUAAUCCCAGCACUUUGAGAGGCCAAGGUGAGAGCCCAGGAGUUCAAGACCAGCCUGGACAACAUAGAGAGACCUUAUCUCUACUAAAAAAUAAAAAUAAAUUAGUUGGGCAUGGUGGUGUACACCUGUAGUCCCACCUAUUCAGGAGGCUGAGGUCAGAGGAUUGCUUGAGCCCAGGAGUUCAAGGCUACAGUGAGUUAUGACCAUACCACUGCACUCCAACCUAGGAGACAGAGUGAGACCCUGUCUCGAAAAAAGGAGGGAGGACAACAGCCUCAUAUUCCCACCACUAACUUCCCAGCCCAGCUGCAUCUGUCUCCAUGCAGCCUCCUUCCCUCCAGCUCCAUACAUAAAUUGA
rnacentral:lncRNA from 1 species